rnacentral:rRNA from 1 species
AGAGUUUGAUCCUGGCUCAGAUUGAACGCUGGCGGCAGGCUUAACACAUGCAAGUCGAGCGGGGAAAAGUAGCUUGCUACUUUACCUAGCGGCGGACGGGUGAGUAAUGCUUAGGAAUCUGCCUAUUAGUGGGGGACAACAUUUCGAAAGGAAUGCUAAUACCGCAUACGUCCUACGGGAGAAAGCAGGGGACCUUCGGGCCUUGCGCUAAUAGAUGAGCCUAAGUCGGAUUAGCUAGUUGGUGGGGUAAAGGCCUACCAAGGCGACGAUCUGUAGCGGGUCUGAGAGGAUGAUCCGCCACACUGGGACUGAGACACGGCCCAGACUCCUACGGGAGGCAGCAGUGGGGAAUAUUGGACAAUGGGGGCAACCCUGAUCCAGCCAUGCCGCGUGUGUGAAGAAGGCCUUUUGGUUGUAAAGCACUUUAAGCGAGGAGGAGGCUACUUAGAUUAAUACUCUGAGAUAGUGGACGUACUCGCAGAAUAAGC